rnacentral:rRNA from 1 species
CGCGUAGGCGGCCACCGCAAGUCGGUUGUGAAAUCUCUGGGCCUAACCCAGAAAGGUCAACCGAUACUGCGGGGCUAGAGUGCAGAAGGGGCAACUGGAAUUCUCGGUGUAGCGGUGAAAUGCGUAGAUAUCGAGAGGAACACCUGCGGCGAAGGCGGGUUGCUGGGCUGACACUGACGCUGAAGCGCGAAAGCUAGGGGAGCGAACG